UACGUAGGGAGCAAGCGUUGUCCGGAAUCAUUGGGCGUAAAGCGCGCGUAGGUGGCUUCGUAAGUCCGCUGUGAAAGUCAAAGGCUCAACCUUUGAAAGCCGGUCGGAUACUGUGAAGCUAGAGUACGGAAGAGGCGAGUGGAAUUCCGUGGUGAGCGGUGAAAUGCGCAGAUAUCGAGAGGAACACCUGCGGCGAAGGCGGGUUGCUGGGCCGACACGUGACGCUGAUGCGCGAAGCCAGGGAGCGAACGG
rnacentral:rRNA from 1 species